UGGUGGAGUGAUUUGUCUGCUUAAUUGCGAUAACGAACGAGACCUUAACCUGCUAAAUAGCCCGUAUUGCUUUGGCAGUUCGCUGGCUUCUUAGAGGGACUAUCGGCUCAAGCCGAUGGAAGUUUGAGGCAAUAACA
rnacentral:rRNA from 1 species